rnacentral:RNase_P_RNA from 1 species
CAAGGUGGGCGAGAUGAUCGCGGGCACAGAGGUGCACGAGGAAAGUCCGGGCUCCAUAGGACAUGACGCCGGGUAACUCCCGGGAGCGGCGACGCUACAGAGAGCGCCACAGAAAAUAUACCGCCUGCAAAGGUAAGGGUGAAAUGGUGGGGUAAGAGCCCACCGCACCGCUGGUGACAGCGGUGGCAGGGCAAGCCUCGUCAGGAGCAAGACCAAGCAGCAGGCAGGGCGGUCCGUCCAAUGCCUGCGGGUAGGUUGCUUGACCAUCCUGGUAACAGGAUGGCUAGAUAGAUGAUCAUCCACGACAGAACCCGGCUUAUUGCCUGCCUUGUUUU